rnacentral:rRNA from 1 species
GACGAACGCUGGCGGCAUGCCUAACACAUGCAAGUCGAACGGAAAGGCCGUGCUUUUGUGCGGUGCUGGAGUGGCGAAGGGGGGAGUAACACGUGAGUAACGUGCCCUUCACUUUGGGAUAACUUCAGGAAAGUGAGGCUAAUACCAGAUAGGAGAUCCCGCCGCAUGGUGGGCGUGGGAUAGUUUCGGCGGUUGGGGAUGGACUCGCCGCUUAUGGGCUUGCUGGUGGGGUAGUGGCUUACCAAGGCAUUGACCGGUAGCCGGCCAGCGAGGGUGGCCGGCCACAUCACGACUGAGAUACGGCACAGACUCCUACGGGAGGCAACGGUGGGGAGUAUUAUACAGUGGGCGGGAGCCAGGUGCGACAACGCCGCGUGCGGGAAGACGGCCUUCGGGUAGUGAACCGCAUUCGCCUUAGACGAGGCGUGAGUGACGGUACCGGGAGAAGAAGCACCGGCUAACUCCGUG